rnacentral:rRNA from 1 species
GACAGAGGGGGCAAGCGUUGCUCGGAAUUACUGGGCGUAAAGGGCGCGUAGGCGGAAUGGCAAGUCGGUCGUGAAAUCCUUCGGCUCAACCGAAGAACGUCGAUCGAAACUGCCGUUCUUGAGGAUUGCAGAGGAGACUGGAAUUCCCGGUGUAGCGGUGAAAUUCGUAGAUAUUGGGAAGAACACCGGUGGCGAAGGCGGCUAUCUGGACCGACAUUGACGCUGAGGCGCGAAAGCGUGGGGAGCAAACAGG